rnacentral:tRNA from 1 species
GCGCCGAUGGUUUAGUGGUAAAAUUCUCCGUUGCCAUCCGAAGCAGCGUCGGGGAGCCGGGGGUUCGAUUCCCCCUCGGCGCA